CUUAACACAUGCAAGUCGCACGAACCUUCGGGGUUAGUGGCGGACGGGUGAGUAACGCGUAGGAAUCUGUCCAUGGGUGGGGGAUAACUCUGGGAAACUGGAGCUAAUACCGCAUGAUACCUGAGGGUCAAAGGCGCAAGUCGCCUGUGGAGGAGCCUGCGUUCGAUUAGCUAGUUGGUGGGGUAAAGGCCUACCAAGGCGAUGAUCGAUAGCUGGUUUGAGAGGAUGAUCAGCCACACUGGGACUGAGACACGGCCCAGACUCC
rnacentral:rRNA from 1 species